AGCUCCAAUAGCGUAUAUUAAAGUUGUUGUGGUUAAAAAGCUCGUAGUUGGAUCUCAACAGCCUUGAAGCGGUUAACUUUGUAGUUUUACUGCUUUGUAGGCUGUGCUUUUGCUGGAGGUUUAGGGGUGCUCUUGAUCGAGUGUCUCUGGAUGCCAGCAGGUUUACUUUGAAAAAAUUAGAGUGCUCAAAGCAGGCUAAAAUGCCUGAAUAUUCGUGCAUGGAAUAAUAGAUAGGAAGGCGAUCCUAUUUUGUUUGGUUUCGGGAACCGACAAUAUGGUUAAAAGGGACAGGCGGGGGCAUUUGUAUUCAAACGACAGAGGUGAAAUUCUUGGACCGUUUGAAGACAAACUACUGCGAAAGCAUUUGCCAAGAAUGUUUUCA
rnacentral:rRNA from 1 species